rnacentral:lncRNA from 1 species
CAUCCCCAUCCCCAUCCAUGUCCCCACCAACCCAUGUGGGUGCCCUGUCCCCAACCCCACUGACCCACAUAGGUGCCACGUCCCCAUCCCUGUCCCCACUUUCCCACACGUGUGCCCUGUCCGUGUCCCUGCCCCCAUUCCCACCAACCCAUAUGGGUGCCAUGUCCCCAUCCUUGUCCCCAUGCUGCCGACCCACAUGGGUGCCAUGUCCCCAUCCCCAUCCCCGUCCCCACCACCCCACAUAUGUGCCCCAUCCCCAUGCCGCUGGCCCGUGCGGAUGCCACGUCCCCAUCCCUGUCCCCACUGACCCAUGUGGGUGCCAUGUCCCCAUCCCCGUCCCCAUCCCCACCGACCCACAGGGAUGCCAUGUCCCCGUCCCCAUCCCUGUCCCCACUGACCCAUGUGCCACGUCCCCAUCCCUGUCCCCCGUGCCACCGAUCCACAUGGGUGCCCUGUCCCCAUCCCCAUCCCCACCGACACAUUUGGGUGCCGUGUCCCCAUCCCUGUGCUGCUGACCCACAUGGGUGCCACGUCCCCAUCCCUGUCCCUGUCCCCACCAACCCACACGGGUACCACGUCCCCAUCCCUGUCCCCAUGCCACUGACCCACAUGGGUGCCACGUCCCCAUCCCCGUCCCCAACAACCCACAUGGGUGCCACAUGCCCAUCGCCAUCCCCACCAACCCAUAUGGGUGCCAUGUCCCCAUCCUCACCGACGCACUUGGGCGCCACAUCUCCAUCCCCAUCCCCACCGCCCCACAUGGGUGCCCUGUCCCCACCCCUGUCCCCACCACCCCACACAUGUUCCCUGUCCCCAUGU